rnacentral:lncRNA from 1 species
UUAGUGAGUUAGCUUACCAUGCCGGCGUUGGCAUUUAAACAACGUUCUACUUUGAGCUUAAAAAUUUCUACCACUGUAACGAGCCUACACCUCAAGGACAUUAACCGAUAUUAACUGAAAAUACUCUCAGUGGGAGAAAAAUCUAUUUCCAAAAUACAUGCACUUCCUUCGUUUAUGUUCGAGUAGUUAUCCAGCUGCCUGUUUUUCCCGCGAAGAAAAACAAAUACGUCACACGUCCUUGUUUUGAAUAACUCAACUUUAUUAGCUAGCAAAGAUUGUUUCGAAACUCCAUGUAUUUACAUUAAUUGUAAUGGAUAAGAAAUCCAACUAAUACAAAUAUACACAUUUUUCUGUGUUUAUAGUGUUAUUUUAAGCGUUUUAGGAACUUUGACUGCGGGUUAGUAUUACCAAUUCUACCUGCGUUCUCCAUGUCAAUAGGCAUCUAUUAUUUCUGUAAGAUUGUUUGGAUAACAUUGAAUGGCUAAUGUUUUUUCCUAAUAAGACGUAUUUUUUACUUUGCUAUUUUUGCUUUUUUAAUCCGUUACCUUUUGGGGUGAAAAUGAUCUGAGUUGGUAUUCCAUGUAUGUGAAAUAUGCUGGUAUAGUAUGAGGCUAAUACAUUAUUAAAUUAUUGAAAAUAGACUAAACCUCACUGCUAGUAUUUUGCUAACUGGUCCUUUAUAUGAAUAGCCCACAGGUAAUGCGCAGCUUUUGAUGUAUGAAGAAUGGACAUUUCAUGGUCCAAUAAUGUAUCAAAGCAGUUGCUGAAGGGUCUCUGGAAGGCAUAGAUCUAGUUAACUAUGUUUUAGGAUGUAGGCUUGGCAAAAUGUGUGGAGACAUUUACAGUAGAUAUUCCUUUUUUGUUCAUUAAAAAGACAAUAUGCAAGGGACAGCGACGUGGUAAGAAAAAAGGUAUUGCUGAUCUUUUUGUAAAUGUACUGUAAUGUCAGUUUAUUGUAUAUUCCACUAUUCCACAGAUUACCUCUGGAGUUGCUCCUCCAUGCACCCACUGGCGACCUCAGAUAGUGUUUUCCUUUGAGGCAGUAACAAACGAAGAAACCAACCCAGACUGGAAAACCCAAACAAAGAGAGACCUUACUGGUGCUGUUUGUACAUCUGUGUGGAGGACUAUCUGGGCUUGUAUGUUUUGACGCCACGCUCAAAUGACUGAAUGGUUCCUUUCCCAGCGAAACGGAAGGUGGAGAGGAGAUGGAUUCUAGACUGGGACUGAAGGAGUCGAGGUGAAUCCUGGACGCAUGGAUCUGCUGGGAGGAGAGAGGGAGGUGAGUUGGGAUAGUGAUGUGAAGGGAGUGAAGUGGGUGGGGUUAAGAAAUUAGAGAUACAGAAAGUCUGAGCGAGAGAAGGAAUAAGUGAAGAGAUGGGGG